UACGUAGGGUGCGAGCGUUAAUCGGAAUUACUGGGCGUAAAGCGUGCGCAGGCGGCGCGUUAAGACAGGUGUGAAAGCCCCGAGCUUAACUUGGGAAUUGCGCUUGUGACUGGCGUGCUGGAGUGUGGCAGAGGGAGGUGGAAUUCCACGUGUAGCAGUGAAAUGCGUAGAGAUGUGGAGGAACACCGAUGGCGAAGGCAGCCUUCUGGGCCAACACUGACGCUCAUGCACGAAAGCGUGGGGAGCAAACAGG
rnacentral:rRNA from 1 species